AACUUUAUAAAUCAAAUCAUUUGGCUUCAUGUAAGUCAACCACCACACCAACACACACUGCACACCUCCUCCAGAAGUCAUGGCCACGUAGGACUAGAAAUCAAAACCAGCCCACUUUUAAAAGUCCUGAAUUCCAGCUCUUGGUCCAACAGAGGCCUUUUCUUAAGUAAAAGCAAUAUAGGGUUUAAAGUAUAAUUCAGGAAAACUUUCAUAACAAGAACUGCAGCAAAAUAUGCAUUCACUACCAAGGACCUGACACCCUCCAGCUGAGAGCAGUGAUUAUUGAACACCAACCAUUAUUUUGAAAUACAAAAAGCUAUGAGGAAAGACAGGUGCUUCUAAAUCAGAUAAGUAACAAGAGCUGAAAAGCAAGCAAGAGAAGAAAUAACACCCUCCAUGGUACCUGCCAUCAAGAAAUAGCAGCUGAUGACCUACAACAGAACCAGAAACCAAAAACCAUCAUGAAGAAAGAUACCUUAUUUUUGUUUUUGCACACUUCAGUGGGCUUUAUCAUUAAAAAACUCAAUGAGUCAUA